CUACGGGGUGCUCCAGUGGGGAAUAUUGGACAAUGGGCGAAAGCCUGAUCCAGCAAUGCCGCGUGUGCGAUGAAGGCCUGAGGGUUGUAAAGCACUUUCGUUGGGAAAGAAAUGCUCAAAGCUAAUACCUUUGAGAGUUGACGUUACCCAAAGAAGAAGCACCGGCUAACUCCGUGCCAGCAGCCGCGGUAAUACGGAGGGUGCAAGCGUUCAUCGGAAUUACUGGGCGUAAAGCGCGCGUAGGCGGCUAGAUCAGUCGGGUGUGAAAGCCCCGGGCUUAACCCGGGAACUGCAUCCGAUACUGUCUAGCUUGAGUACAGGAGAGGAGAGUGGAAUUCCACAUGUAGCGGUGAAAUGCGUAGAUAUGUGGAGGAACACCAAUGGCGAAGGCAGCUCUCUGGCCUGAUACUGACGCUGAGGUGCGAAAGCGUGGGGAGCAAACAGGAUUAGAUACCCCGGUAGUC
rnacentral:rRNA from 1 species